rnacentral:rRNA from 1 species
UCGGGAAUUUUGGGCAAUGGGCGAAAGCCUGACCCAGCAACGCCGCGUGAAGGAUGAAGCUUUUCGGAGUGUAAACUUCACAAGAAUGGGAAGAAUAAGUUUAGGAUAAUACCCUGAACGAUGACGGUACCAUUUGUAAGCUCCGGCUAACUCCGUGCCAGCAGCCGCGGUAAUACGGGGGGAGCAAGCGUUGUUCGGAUUUACUGGGCGUAAAGGGCGCGUAGGCGGCGCGACAAGUCACUUGUGAAAUCUCUGAGCUCAACUCAGAACGGUCAAGUGAUACUGUCGUGCUAGAGUGCGGAAGGGGCAACUGGAAUUCUUGGUGUAGCGGUGAAAUGCGUAGAUAUCAAGAGGAACACCUGCGGCGAAGGCGGGUUGCUGGGCCGACACUGACGCUGAGGCGCGAAAGCUAGGGGAGCGAACGGGAUUAGAUACCCCGGUAGUCCUAGCCUUAAACGAUGAAUGCUUGGUGUCCGGGGUUAGAUAGUCCCCGGGUGCCGUCGCUAACGCUUUAAGCAUUCCGCCU